GGUGCAAAAAGGAGUCACAGUGGUACAGUUAUCCCGGGACCAAGUGAAGUGACGCAAAGUAAAGUGCAAGUAAAAUAAAAAAACUUAUUGUGUCUUUCCAGAACACGUUUGGCCAAAGAAUGAAUAGACCCUUCACAUUUACAGAGAAAAAAGGAUGUGGAUUGAAAAGAAGAAAGAAUUUCCAAGAAAGAGAGACGUUGCGAAAUGAGCCAGUAGUUGACAUUUUUCGAA